GUCAAGUCGAACGAUGAUCCGGUGCUUGCACCGGGGAUUAGUGGCGAACGGGUGAGUAACACGUGAGUAACCUGCCCUUAACUCUGGGAUAAGCCUGGGAAACUGGGUCUAAUACCGGAUAUGACUCCUCAUCGCAUGGUGGCGGGGUGGAAAGCUUUAUUGUGGUUUUGGAUGGACUCGCGGCCUAUCAGCUUGUUGGUGAGGUAAUGGCUCACCAAGGCGACGACGGGUAGCCGGCCUGAGAGGGUGACCGGCCACACUGGGACUGAUACACGGCCCAGACUCCUACGGGAGGCAGCAGUGGGGAAUAUUGCACAAUGGGCGCAAGCCUGAUGCAGCGACGCCGCGUGAGGGAUGACGGCCUUCGGGUUGUAAACCUCUUUCAGUAGGGAAGAAGCGAAAGUGACGGUACCUGCAGAAGAAGCGCCGGCUAACUACGUGCCAGCAGCCGCGGUAAUACGUAGGGCGCAAGCGUUAUCCGGAAUUAUUGGGCGUAAAGAGCUCGUAGGCGGUUUGUCGCGUCUGCCGUGAAAGUCCGGGGCUCAACUCCGGAUCUGCGGUGGGUACGGGCAGACUAGAGUGAUGUAGGGGAGACUGGAAUUCCUGGUGUAGCGGUGAAAUGCGCAGAUAUCAGGAGGAACACCGAUGGCGAAGGCAGGUCUCUGGGCAUUAACUGACGCUGAGGAGCGAAAGCAUGGGGAGCGAACAGGAUUAGAUACCCUGGUAGUCCAUGCCGUAGACGUUGGGCACUAGGUGUGGGGGACAUUCCACGUUUUCCGCGCCGUAGCUAACGCAUUAAGUGCCCCGCCUGGGGAGUACGGCCGCAAGGCUAAAACUCAAAGGAAUUGACGGGGGCCCGCACAAGCGGCGGAGCAUGCGGAUUAAUUCGAUGCAACGCGAAGAACCUUACCAAGGCUUGACAUGGGCCGGACCGGGCUGGAACAGUCCUUCCCCUUUGGGGCCGGUUCACAGGUGG
rnacentral:rRNA from 1 species